UACGUAGGGUGCGAGCGUUAAUCGGAAUUACUGGGCGUAAAGCGUGCGCAGGCGGUUUUGUAAGCCAGAUGUGAAAUCCCCGGGCUUAACCUGGGAAUGGCCAUGGAAACUGGCGAGCUGGAGUGUGGCAGAGGGGGGUGGAAUUCCGCGUGUAGCAGUGAAAUGCGUAGAGAUGCGGAGGAACACCGAUGGCGAAGGCAGCCCCCUGGGCUAACACUGACGCUGAGGCACGAAAGCGUGGGGAGCAAACAGG
rnacentral:rRNA from 1 species